UACAGAGACUGCAAGCGUUAUUCGGAUUCACUGGGCGUAAAGGGUGCGCAGGCGGCCAAGUGUGUGAGGCGUGAAAGCCCGAAGCUUAACUUCGGAAUUGCACCUCAAACUACAUGGCUAGAGCAUUGGAGAGGGUAGCGGAAUUCACGGUGUAGCAGUGAAAUGCGUAGAUAUCGUGAGGAACACCAGUGGCGAAGGCGACUACCUGGCCUGUUUCUUGACGCUGAGGCGCGAAAGCUAGGGGAGCAAACGGG
rnacentral:rRNA from 1 species